AAUCUGCCUUUUGGUUUGGAAUAACACGGGGAAACUUGUGCUAAUACCGAAUAAGCCUUUACAGGGAAAGUUUUAACGCCGAAAGAUGAGCCCGCACUUGAUUAGCUAGUUGGUAAGGUAAAAGCUUACCAAGGCAAUGAUCAAUAGCUGUUCUUAGAGGAAGACCAGCCACAUUGGGACUGAGACACGGCCCAGACUCCUACGGGAGGCAGCAGUGGGGAAUCUUGCACAAUGGGGGAAACCCUGAUGCAGCGAUGCCGCGUGAGUGAAGAAGGCCUUUGGGUUGUAAAACUCUUUCGUCGGGGAAGAAAAUGACUGUACCCGAAUAAGAAGGUCCGGCUAACUUCGUGCCAGCAGCCGCGGUAAUACGAAGGGACCUAGCGU
rnacentral:rRNA from 1 species